AUUGAACGCUGGCGGCAGGCCUAACACAUGCAAGUCGAGCGAGCGGCGGACGGGUGAGUAAUGUAUGGGGACUGCCUGAUAGAGGGGGAUAACUACUGGAAACGGUGGCUAAUACCGCAUACUAUCCGAUAACCCAUAUGGGAUUAGCUAGUAGGUGGGGUAAAGGCUCACAUAGGCGACGAUCUCUAGCUGGUCCGAGAGGAUGAUCGGCCACACUGGGACUGAGACACGGCCCAGACUCCUACGGAGGCAGCAGUGGGGAAUAUUGCACAAUGGGCGCAAGCCUGAUGGAGCAAUGCCGCGUGUAUGAAGAAGGCCUUAGGGUUGUAAAGCACUUUCAGCGGGGAGGCGUUACCCACAGAAGAAGCACCGGCUAACUCCGUGCCAGCAGCCGCGGUAAUUC
rnacentral:rRNA from 1 species